GAAAUGCGAUAAUUAAUGUGAAUUGCAGAAUUCAGUGAAUCAUCGAGUCUUUGAACGCACAUUGCGCCCCCUGGUAUUCCGGGGGGCAUGCCUGUCCGAGCGUCAUCGCUGCCCUCAAGCACGGCUUGUGUGUUGGGCUUCCGUCCCUGGCAACGGGGACGGGCCCAAAAGGCAGUGGCGGCACCAUGUCUGGUCCUCGAGCGUAUGGGGCUUUGUCACCCGUUCCCGUAGGUCCAGCUGGCAGCUAGCCUCGCAACCAAUCUUUUUAACCAGGUUGACCUCGGAUCAGGUAGGGAUACCCGCUGAACUUAAGC
rnacentral:misc_RNA from 1 species